CCUACGGGAGGCAGCAGUGGGGAAUAUUGCACAAUGGGGGAAACCCUGAUGCAGCAACGCCGCGUGAAGGAAGACGGUUUUCGGAUUGUAAACUUCUGUUCUUAGUGAAGAAGAAUGACGGUAGCUAAGGAGCAAGCCACGGCUAACUACGUGCCAGCAGCCGCGGUAAUACGUAGGUGGCAAGCGUUGUCCGGAAUUACUGGGUGUAAAGGGAGCGCAGGCGGGAAGCCAAGUCAGCUGUGAAAACUACGGGCUUAACCUGUAGACUGCAGUUGAAACUGGUUUUCUUGAGUGAAGUAGAGGUUGGCGGAAUUCCGAGUGUAGCGGUGAAAUGCGUAGAUAUUCGGAGGAACACCGGUGGCGAAGGCGGCCAACUGGGCUUUAACUGACGCUGAGGCUCGAAAGUGUGGGGAGCAAACAGGAUUAGAUACCCGAGUA
rnacentral:rRNA from 1 species